CUCUGCCCUGACUGAGUGGCCUGAAACAUCUUCCCAGUUUUUUCAAAUAGUCCUGAGAUCUUCACCUGCCUGGAGCCCGUGGUGUCCACGUGCUGUUUGAGAUGCUGGUGCCUGUGGGGAUGGAGCCCGACGAGGGGAAGGGGCAGACCACAAGCAAGACACACAUGCCUCUGUCUGUCCCUGCUGGCCUGCUGGGCCUGAACCAGAUGUAUGCGGGGGUGAACUGGGGCUUUGUUUCCUGCCUAGAAUGUGCCAGAGGUUUGAUAGGAUAAAAAACCAGAGACUUUUUCCUGCAGGGAAUGAGAAGGGCGAUAUUUCUAGUCUCACCGGUCUGGGGAAUUUGGGGACCAAGUGUCAAGAAACCCGUGAAAACAUUGUUUUAAUGCUUCAGUGAAUUGUUUGAGUAGGCAGUGUUUCUUCAUUAUAAGAGGAAUACUCGUUCCCAGCUAAAAGUUUGGGAAACGGAUCUAAUGAAUAACGUAAGCACCCAGAGAUAGCGACUAUAAAUAUUUUGGCAUGUUUCUUGGCAGUUUUUAAAUAGUACGGUGACGAACAUCUUUGAUGAUAUGUCUUUGGAAGCUGUCUGAGUGUUUCCUCAGGGUAAAUUCCUAGAAGACACGCCAAGAGGCCAAAGGCUCGGACGCGUUUUGCCAAAAUGCCCUCCAGAAACGCCGCAGAGAGUGCCAUCCGCCCACCUGGCGGGGGAGCAGGUUGCCGUGCCCUGCUGCCAGCCCUGGGUCGUGUCGUUCCAUUGCGUCUCUGGCCGUCUCCUGGGUGAGACGAGGCUGGCAGCACAGUGCUUUUCAUUUCUUUGAUGGCUGGGCGUGUUGGACAUCUUUUCGUUUUAUUGUUGGCCAUUUGGACAAUUGCCUGUACCUGUUCUUUGCCCAUAUUUUGUUUUCUGUUAGCUGUAUGUCUUUUUCUUACUCUAGAGCUUUUUAUAUUAAGGAUUUCAGCCUACCGCUGCCAUAGACUCGUGCAGAUCACAUUUGUUUUUCAGUUUGUCAUUUUUCUUUUAACUUUGGCUUUAGCUUUCUGUUUGCUAUGCACAAGUUUUACAUGGGCAUGUAGCCAAUCUAUCGAGUUUUCUUUUAUAGUCUCUGGCUUUGGGGUAGGGCCCCAAAGGGUGGCUUUCACCAGCUGUGAUUUCAUAAGCGUUCACCAGUCCAAGGGCUAAAUUUCAAAAUGAGAGAACAGUUUCAGACAUGAAGGGGCACGAGUCAACGCUCUCUGUGGAAUUAAUGCCGGAGUGUGUGAAGGGUAAUCAACAGUUUCUCGAAGGAGAGCGCUUUCUUCUCUCCUUUUUGAAGCCACUGACCUUCAGAUGUAUAUCUGUGUGUGUAUGUUUACAUAUGUAUGUUUAGAUUUACAUUUUUUAACUUUAAGGGGCCUCACCUCCUGUGCCCUCUGAGGUCUUUGUCGGAGGAACAAGAAAAGGCGUCUGUUAUGCUCCUGUGCGAGGUGCGUCGGAGACUCAGUUUCCCUCUAAUCAGGCUCCUCACUGUGUGGGUUCGGGGCCUCCUGGCAUCAGCUUGCAGGUCGCCUUCCCACUGUUCUUGCAAUAGACGCAUCUGCCAUCAAGAAGUGGGGACCCCUGCUCUCCCCCCGAGGGAGCAGGGACCCCCAGCAUCUCUAUGCUCAGCCCCGGGCUGAUGCUUCUAGAACACCAGUCAGUAGCUCUGCUGUCCUCCAGGCGGCCAGCAGUGGGGUCAGGGACAAGAGCAAUGGGCUGGGUAGUGGACACGAGGGCCUCCGAUCUGGCUCUGGGGCCCUGUGCUGGUCACUGCUCCCCUCCGGCCCUCCGUGUGCCCUUCUGUAGAGGGAGCGGAGGGCCCACCUCGCGUUCCUCUCCAUAUCAAGGAGAGAGAUCUCUAGACAGCCGGCUAGGGCCCGGGGGUGUUAGUGAGGGAAGCCAGAAGGCCCUGGAUUUGUGUCUAAAGAGUUAGUGACACCCUCCUAAUUAAAGGAACUCAGAUGAAGGAAGGCACGAUGUCCCCCCACACAGAGGAAGUGUGAUGGGCGGGAGGACAGCGUGGCCUCGCUGGCAUGUCUGUGAGAUGUAAAGUGCGCUGACCCCGCUUUGAGGAAUCUGUCCUGAGGUUGUGCUCACGCUGUUUGUACAGGUGCCUCUCUGCAAGGCCUCUCCUUCACUCAGCAAAGCAAAAAGCCCUAAACGGCCAACCGGAGGGGACAGUGAAACAAAUGAUGGGGUGCCGUCCUGCAAAGCCUCUUUGGAAAGGAUGAGGUGGGCACGGGAGCAGAGCCUGGGAACGGGAGCCCUGCCCUGCUGCCCGGGAACCACCAUGUGAUGGGGAAUCAUAAUGGUGAGAAUCGGCCCCUAGGGCUGAGGUGAGUGCUCCAAUGAGGCGAAGUGAGGUGAGGCUGGGGGAGCUCGGAGCAAGGCGUGUCCAGGUUUUAAUCGGAAUGCAGUGAGGAGCCACAGAAGGGCUUUGAGUAGCAGAGCGGCAGGACUAGAGUUCCACUCCCUGUCUGGGCUGCUGACUUGGGCAGGGUAGCCAUGUACAGGUGUGCAGGUUGCUCGUGGCACGAAGGAAGAAUAAUUCACCAGAAGGUCCUGUAGGAGCAAAUGGUGACCCUGCGGGAAGAAGGAAUGGGAGGCACAGGCUAGCGGAGAGGAUGGAACCUAAUCAGAUAUUGGUGGAGUAGAGAGGUUCCCAGAGGGAAAGUGUGGUUGGGAGAGGAGCACACCAUGGUGGCCUGUGAGGGAGGGAUGGGCUUCACAAGGAAGAAAGAAAUACGAUCUGAAGGAGAGAUCACGUGCUGUGUGCUGAGGGGAAAAGGGCUGUGAAGAAAAACAGGGUGAGGCCGGGGAGUGAAGGUAGGAGGGACGGGUGCUUGUUCAGGGGAGGCAUCUUUGGGGGGGUGACGUCAGAGCCGGGCUGAGUAGGUGGGAAUGAGCCACGCCAGUGGACGGGGACGGGUUUCCCUGCAGGCCGCAGAGGCGGUAACGUGUCUGGGUUCCGGGACGCGGAAAGCAGGCCGGGUGACGGGAUGUAAGGGGCAGGCAGGGUGCUGGAGGCCGCGGCAGGAGAGGUGGCCGGGCCGCGAUAGGCGGGUCUCGAUUUUUUCUAAGAGCAGUGAGCUGCUGUUGGAGGGUUUUAUUUCAAUAAACCUUUUAUUUUGAAAUGACUUCAGAUGUAUAGAAAAUUUUACAAAGUAUUACAAAAAUAGUACAAAUAGUGCCCUUAUAUCCUUAACCUAGGCUCCCCAAAUGUUAACAUUCUAUCCCGUCUGUUUUUGUCCUUCUCUUCUCUAUUUUUUUUUGUAGACGAGAGUAAGUUGCAGCCAUGAUGCCGUCACCUGUAAAGAAUUUUGCAUGCAUUUCCCAGAAACGAGGACGUUCUCCUACCUAAGCGCGGCACAGUGAUAAGGAUCAGGAAAUGAAUGUGAACACACUGCUGUCACCUGCUCUUCAGACCUCGUUCACGUAGCACGGAUGGACACAGAGACGUCCUUCAUGGCAGAAGAAAACCUCUCCCCCAGCCCGGGACCCGCUCGGAGGUCGCCGGCAGCUCUGAUUCUGGGCCCCUUUGCUACUUUAGUCAGUUCAGUUCCUUAGUCUGUCUUUGUCCUCAUGACCUUGAUGUGGUUGAAAAGAAUCAACAGGCCCCAAAUGGAGUCACUUAUGCUGAACCCACCCAGGCUUGACACCUCACCUCACGGCAGCUUCAGCCUCUCCCAGGGGUGGGAUUUUAAACCAGCCCCUCGGGAGUUCCCUGACCAGCCCUAAGGAGGGAACCUGCCUGACACGGCGGCCUGUCUUCCCCUGGAAGAAGGCGGCCUUGCUGAGAUGACCCACUCUUCCACGUCGUCGAGGCUUCCAUCUUGUACAGCUGCUCAGAACGCCUGUCUCCUUGCUGGGGGCGAUGCUGCCCACUUAUGAAUCGCCGAAUAAAGCCAAUUAGAUCUUUAUGUGUA